rnacentral:rRNA from 1 species
GCGACGCCGCGUGCGGGAAGGAGCCCUUCGGGGUGUAAACCGCUGUGGUGGGAGACGAAUAAGGUAAGGAGUGGAAAGUCUUACCGAUGACGGUAUCCCACUAGGAAGCCCCGGCUAACUACGUGCCAGCAGCCGCUGGUAAUACGUAGGGGGCGAGCGUUACCCGGAUUUACUGGGCGUAAAGGGGGCGUAGGCGGUCGUGGAAGUCCGGUGUGAAAGGCCACGGCUCAACUGUGGAACUGCGCUGGAAACCACGCGACUUGAGGGCGGUAGAGGGAGACGGAACUGCUGGUGUAGGGGUGAAAUCCGUAGAUAUCAGCAGGAACGCCGGUGGGGAAGCCGGUCUCCUGGGCCGCGCCUGACGCUGAGGCCCGAAAGCUAGGGGAGCGAACCGGAUUAGAUACCCGGGUAGUCCUAGCCGUAAACGAUGCCCACUAGGUGUGGGGGAGUGAUUCCUCCGUGCUGAAGCGAACGCGAUAAGUGGGCCGCCUGGGGAGUAUGCCCGCAAGGGUGAAACUCAAAGA